UCCUCUGUAACUCAGCCUCAGUCACGAUAGAGGGAGUAUUGGCAUGCGAGAAGCGCUCAGUGCUCCUGUAGUACUCGGAGGGGGUUUUGGGAGUUUUUGGGAGAGGAUUCUUGUCGGUUUUCGACCCCUUUGGAUUCGAGGCCGAAGUUUCUUCGUGAGCGGUAGGGUUUGGCGGAACAACAGUGAUCGGUGUUACUAGUAUGGGAGAACCUUGUUCAGAAUUUUGGGAAGCC
rnacentral:lncRNA from 1 species